GCUGAAUAUACCGGUUCUCGUUAGAUCACCGAAGUCAAGCAUCAUUGGGCGCUCCCAGUACUUGGGAGGGUGAUCACCAGGAAACACCGCCUGUCGUU